CCAAGUCCCGACGCAACCCCCCCCCGCGUCGGGACCUUCCCAGCCGGGCUUCGGCACCUAACCCCCCCCAGGUGCCGGGGCCCGGCUCACUU
rnacentral:ncRNA from 1 species